CGGGGGGGGGGCAAGCGUUGUUCGGGAAUUACUGGGGCGUAAAGGGCGCGCAGGCGGCCUGGCCAGUCCUACGUGAAAUCCCACAGCUCAACUGUGGAACUGCGUGGGAUACUGCCAGGCUUGAGUCCGGGAGAGGAGAGUGGAAUUCCCAGUGUAGCGGUGAAAUGCGUAGAUAUUGGGAGGAACACCGGUGGCGAAGGCGGCUCUCUGGACCGGCACUGACGCUGAGGCGCGAAAGCUAGGGGAGCAAACGGGAUUAGAUACCCCGGUAGUCCUAGCCCUAAACGAUGAGCACUUGGUGUGGCGGGUAUCGACCCCUGCCGUGCCGAAGCUAACGCAUUAAGUGCUCCGCCUGGGGAGUACGGUCGCAAGGCUG
rnacentral:rRNA from 1 species